CAGUUGGGCACUCUAAUGAGACUGCCGGUGACAAGCCGGAGGAAGUGGGGAUGACGUCAAGUCCUCAUGGCCCUUAUAGGUGGGGCCUACACACGUCAUACAAUGGCUGGGUACAAAGGGUUGCCAACCCGCGAGGGGGAGCCAAUCCCAUAAAGCCAGUCGUAGUCCGGAUCGUAGUCUGCAACUCGACUACGUGAAGUCGGAAUCGCUAGUAAUCGUGGAUCAGAAUGUCCGCGGUCGAAUACGUUCCCGGGCCUU
rnacentral:rRNA from 1 species